rnacentral:rRNA from 1 species
AAUUUUGGACAAUGGGGGAAACCCUGAUCCAGCCAUGCCGCGUGUAUGAUGAAGGCCUUCGUGUAUUAAAGUACUUUUGUCAGAGAAGAAAAGGUAUCUCCUAAUACGAGUGACUGCUGACGGUAUAUGCAGAAUAAGCACCGGUUAACUACGUGGCAGCAGCCGCGGUAAUGCGUAGGGUGCGAGCGUUAAUCGGAAUUACUGGGCGUAAAGCGUGUGUAGGCGGUUCGGAAAGAAAGAUAUGAAAUUCCAGGGCUCAACCUUGGAACUGCAUUUUUAACUGCCGAGCUAGAGUAUGUCAGAGGGGGGUAGAAUUCCACGUGUAGCAGUGAAAUGCGUAGAUAUGUGGAGGAAUACCGAUGGCGAAGGCAGCCCCCUGGGAUAAUACUGACGCUCAGACACGAAAGCGUGGGGAGCAAACA